rnacentral:rRNA from 1 species
AGCGGCGGACGGGUGAGUAACGCGUGGGUAACCUGCCUCAUACAGGGGGAUAACAGUUGGAAACGGCUGCUAAUACCGCAUAAGCGCACAGUACCGCAUGGUACGGUGUGAAAAACUCCGGUGGUAUGAGAUGGACCCGCGUCUGAUUAGGUAGUUGGUGGGGUAACGGCCUACCAAGCCGACGAUCAGUAGCCGACCUGAGAGGGUGAACGGCCACAUUGGGACUGAGACACGGCCCAG